rnacentral:rRNA from 1 species
AACUCCGUAGGUGAACCUGCGGAAGGAUCAUUACAGUAUUCUUUGCCAGCGCUUAACUGCGCGGCGAAAAGCCUUACACACAGUGUCUUUUUGAUACAGAACUCUUGCUUUGGUUUGGCCUAGAAGAUAGGUUGGGCCAGAGGUUUAACAAAACACAAUUUAAUUAUUUUUACAGUUAGUCAAAUUUUGAAUUAAUCUUCAAAACUUUCAACAACGGAUCUCUUGGUUCUCGCAUCGAUGAAGAACGCAGCGAAAUGCGAUAAGUAAUAUGAAUUGCAGAUUUUCGUGAAUCAUCGAAUCUUUGAACGCACAUUGCGCCCUCUGGUAUUCCAGAGGGCAUGCCUGUUUGAGCGUCAUUUCUCUCUCAAACCCCCGGGUUUGGUAUUGAGUGAUACUCUUAGUCGGACUAGGCGUUUGCUUGAAAAGUAUUGGCAUGGGUAGUACUGGAUAGUGCUGUCGACCUCUCAAUGUAUUAGGUUUAUCAACUCGUUGGAUGGUGGCAGGAUGUUCUGGUAUUGUUGGCCCGGCCUUACAACAACCAAACAAGUUUGACCUCAAAUCAGGUAGGAAUACCCGCUGAACUUAAGCAUAUCAAUAAGCAGGAGGUUGUAUCCCUAGUGCAAGCGGUAGCCUUUGUUCAGUUACGUAUUGCUCCUGGGAGCAUCUAACGAGUUUGAUCCUGGCUCAGAUUGAACGCUGGCGGGAUGCUUUACACAUGCAAGUCGAACGGCAGCACGGACUUCGGUCUGGUGGCGAGUGGCGAACGGGUGAGUAAUGUAUCGGAACGUGCUAGUAGCGGGGGAUAACUACGCGAAAGCGUAGCUAAUACCGCAUACGCCCUUCGGGGGAAAGCGGGGGACCUUCGGGCCUCGCACUAUUGAAACGGCCGAUAUCGGAUUAGCCAGUUGGUGGGGUAACGGCUCGCAAGGCGACGAUCCGUAGCUGGUUUCAGAGGACGACCAGCCACACUGGGACUGAGACACGGCCGACUCCUACGGGAGGCAGCAGUGGGAAUUUUGGACAAUGGGGAAACCCUGAUCCAGCCAUCCCGCGUGUGCGAUGAAGGCCUUCGGGUUGUAAAGCACUUUGGCAGGAAAGAAACGGCACGGGAUAAUACCCCGUGCAACUGACAGUACCUGCAGAAUAAGCACCGGCUAACUACGUGCCAGCAGCCGCGGUAAUACGUAGGGUGCAAGCGUUAAUCAGAUUACUGGGCGUAAAGCGUGCGCAGGCGGUUCGGAAAGAAAGAUGCUUGAAAUCCCAGAGCUUAACUUUGGAACUGCAUUUUAACUACCGAGCUAGAGUGUGUCAGAGGAGGUGGAAUUCCGCGUGUAGCAGUGAAAUGCGUAGAUAUGCGGAGGAACACCGAUGGGCGAAGGCAGCCUCCUGGGAUAACACUGACGCUCAUGCGAAAGCGUGGGGAGCAAACAGGAUUAGAUACCCUGGUAGUCCACGCCCUAAACGAUGUCAACUAGCUGUUGGGGCCUUCGGGCCUUGGUAGCGCAGCUAACGCGUGAAGUUGACCGCCUGGGGAUACGGUCGCAAGAUUAAAACUCAAAGGAAUUGACGGGGACCCGCACAAGCGGUGGAUGAUGUGGAUUAAUUCGAUGCAACGCGAAAAACCUUACCUACCGCUUGACAUGUCUGGAAUCCCGAAGAGAUUUGCAGUGCUCGCAAGAGAACCGGAACACAGGUGCUGCAUAUGGCUGUCGUCAGCUCGUGUCGUGGGGGAUGUUGGGUUAAGUCCCGCAACGAGCGCAACCCUUGUCAUUAGUUGCUACGAAAGGGCACUCUAAUGAGACUGCCGGUGACAAACCGGAGGAAGGUGGGGAUGACGUCAAGUCCUCAUGGCCCUUAUGGGUAGGGCUUCACACGUCAUACAAUGGUCGGGACAGAGGGGUCGCCAACCCGCGAGAGGAGCCAAUCCCAGAAACCCGAUCGUAGUCCGGAUCGCAGUCUGCAACUCGACUGCGUGAAGUCGGAAUCGCUGGUAAUCGCGGAUCAGCAUGUCGCGGUGAAUACGUUCCCGGGUCUUGUACACCGCCCGUCACACCAUGGGAGUGGGUUUUACCAGAAGUAGUUAGCCUAACCGUAAGGAGGGCGAUUACCACGGUAGGAUUCAUGACUGGGGUGAAGUCGUAACAGGUAA